AUGCAGACUUUGGAGAAGAACCGAAGAAAAAAGCCAUUUGUGCAGUGCCUGCGGUCUCCUAAAGAGCCCAAACAGCUGCGGAAGCUAUUCAUUGGAGGGCUGAGCUUUGAAAUGACUGAUGGGAGUCUGAGGAGCCAUUUUGAGCUAUGGGGAAUGCUCACAGACUGCGUGGUAAUGAGAGAUCCAAACACCAAGUGCUCCAGGGGCUUCAGGUUUGUCACAUACGCCACCGUGGAGGAGGUAGAUGUGUAGAAUGCAAGGCCACACAAAGUGGAUGGAAGAGUCGUGGAACCAAAGAGAGCUGUUUCCAGAGAAGAUUCUCAAAGUCCUGGUGCCCACUUAACUAAAUACCACACUGUGAAUGGCCACAGCUGUGAUGUAAGGAAAGCCCCGUCAAAGCAAGAGAUGGCUGGGGCUUCAUCCAGCCAGAGAGGUCAAAGUGGUUCUGGAAACUUUGGUGGGGGUCGUGGAGGUGAUUAUGGUAGAAAUGACAACUUUGGCUGUGAAGGAAACUUCAGUGGUCAUGGUGGCUUUGGUGGCAGCCGUGGUGGCAGUGGAUAUGGUGGCAGUGGGGAUGGCUACAAUGGAUUUGGUAAUGAUGGAAGCAAUUUUGGUCGUGGAAGUUACAAUGAUUUUGGCAAUUACAACAAUCAGUCAUCAAAUUUUGGACCCAUGAAGGGACGAAAUUUUGGAGGCAGAAGCUCUAGCCCUUAUGGUAGCGGUGGCCAAUACUUUGCCAAACCAUGAAACCAAGGUGGCUAUGGUGGCUCCCGUAGCAGCAGUAGCUAUGGCAGUGGCAGAAAGUUUUAAUUAUUCCCAGGAAACAAAGCUUAGCAGGAGAGGAGAGCCAGAGAAGUGACAGGGAAGCUACAGGUUACAACAGAUUUGUGAACUCAGCCAAGCACAGUGGUGGCAGGGCCUAGCUGCUACAAAGAAGACAUGUUUUAGACAAUACUCAUGUGUAUGGGCAAAAAACUCG